UGAGCAAUCUGCCCUUCACAUCGGAAUAACCAUUGGAAACGAUGGCUAAUACCGAAUAUGACUUCGGAUCGCAUGAUCUGAAGUGGAAAGCUCCGGCGGAGGAGGAUGAGCUCGCGGCCUAUCAGCUAGUUGGUGUGGGUAACGGCCCACCAAGGCGACGACGGGUAGCCGGCCUGAGAGGGUGACCGGCCACACUGGGACUGAGACACGGCCCAGACUCUACGGGAG
rnacentral:rRNA from 1 species